rnacentral:rRNA from 1 species
AUUGAACGCUGGUGGCAGGCCUAACACAUGCAAGUCGAGCGGAUGAAGGGAGCUUGCUCCUGGAUUCAGCGGCGGACGGGUGAGUAAUGCCUAGGAAUCUGCCUGGUAGUGGGGGAUAACGUCCGGAAACGGGCGCUAAUACCGCAUACGUCCUGAGGGAGAAAGUGGGGGAUCUUCGGACCUCACGCUAUCAGAUGAGCCUAGGUCGGAUUAGCUAGUUGGUGGGGUAAAGGCCUACCAAGGCGACGAUCCGUAACUGGUCUGAGAGGAUGAUCAGUCACACUGGAACUGAGACACGGUCCAGACCCCUACGGGAGGCAGCAGUGGGGAAUAUUGGACAAAGGGCGAAAGCCUGAUCCAGCCAUGCCGCGUGUGUGAAGAAGGUCUUCGGAUUGUAAAGCACUUUAAGUUGGGAGGAAGGGCAGUAAGUUAAUACCUUGCUGUUUUGACGUUACCAACAGAAUAAGCACCGGCUAACUUCGUG